rnacentral:misc_RNA from 1 species
AGAGACUUGAAAAUAAAUUGACGGAAUGUGAAGCGACGCAAAAAAUUCAUUCUAAUUUUCAUGUUUAUAUGAGAUUCUAGCACAUCCAUGUACAAUCAAGAGAUCAGAGGAAUAAAAAACCAUUGGAAAAAGGCCAUUUCCAGUCUAAAUCUACUAAAAACCAUGUUCAGAGGAUGAUCGAAAGUCAGAAAAGGUAAAUUAUCUUCAUCCUGAAUUUUUAUUUGUGAAAAUAAAAAACAGAGGAAAUGAAGAUCACAU